rnacentral:lncRNA from 1 species
UCAUGGAUUUAUGUGGUGAUAUGUUGAGCUGCAAAUGUAAACUGUUUUGGAAUUGUGUUUUCAUCUGCAAGUGAGCUAUAUAUAUGUGGAUUCAUGUACUGAUAAUUGUGCUAGGGAAAUGCAGAUAUAUAUGUCGUAAUGCAUUUGAGAAAUUGUUUCAAUAUGAGCUAUUUAUGUAUGUACCUACAUAUAAUGUUAAUAUAUAUAGCUAAUAAUUGUUUGUUUUAUAUAAGAUGGAUAAAACAUGGAUGCUGGCAGACAGGAGGUCACUAAGGUUUGAGAUAGGAUUUGAAAAUUUUCUUAAGGUCGCAUCGGAUAAUGAUAAGGACCAUAAUAAUAUACCUUGCCCUUGCUUAAAGUGCUGCAACAAUGGAUUUGGUUCUAUACAGUUCAUUAAGGAUCAUGUCUUUUUUAAUGGUAUAAUGGAAAACUAUGACCGUUGGAAGUGGCACGGAGAAUGUUCUUAUGCCGCUAGACAUGGUUUGAGUGAGGGUUCUGAAACAGUAGAAAUGAAUCCAGAUUUAGGGAUAGAAGUAGAUGAUGUGGGUAAUGAAGAUGAAGAGCUUUCGGCAGACUCGAAUGAGUUUAUGCAGUUUGUAGAGGAUGGAGAUAAGCCUCUAUAUCCUGGUUGUACCAAAGCAACCAAGAUGAAUGGUUUGAUAGAAACCUUUAAUCUUAAAGCAAGGUACGGACUGUCCGAUUCAUGCUAUUCAAACAUUUUAAUAUUGUUUGGAACUCUGCUUCCCGAUGGGAAUGAAUUACCUGGGUCUGUUAAAGAGGACAAAAAAAUUUUGUCCACAUUAGGGAUGAAAUAUGAGAAGAUUGAUGCUUGUCCAAAUGACUGCAUCUUGUAUAAAGGCUUGCAUGUUGCUGCUCAAAGAUGUCCAACUUGUACUGCAUCAAGGUGGAAACUAGCAAAGGACAAGUCUGAGAAAGUUGGGGUGUCUGCAAAGACAUUGUGGUAUUUUCCACCAAUCCCAAGGUUUCGAAGGAUGUUCCAAUCGACAUUUUCUGCUAAGCAACUGACUUGGCAUGCGAAGGGCAGAAAGAAGGACGGAAUGAUGAGACAUCCAGCGGAUUCUCCAAUGUGGAAAAUGAUAGACACUAAAUGGCCAGAUUUUGGUAUAGAACCUAGGAACCUUAGACUUGCAUUGUCCUUAGAUGGGUUUAACCCAUUUGGUGCAGCAAACAGCAAGUACUCUUGUUGGCCUUGUGAUUUUGGUCACCUAUAACCUUCCUCCAUGGUUAUGCAUGAAGAGGAAGUACAUGAUGUUAACUUUGUUAAUUUCAGGACCUAAGCAGCCU